rfam:Gossypium arboreum cultivar AKA8401 contig_11393_1, whole genome shotgun sequence.
UGUUAAAAUUUUCAUUCAUUUAUACUGUUAAAAACCAGCAUGACUAACAAAAUAAACAAAUGGUGAUACGUGGCGUGUUACAUGUACCUCAUGCUAACAUGCACAAAUCAGUUUUUAACAGCAUAAAUGGAUAAAAUUUUUAACA